UAUGAAGGCGGGCUGGAAUCUCUCGGGGUUACAGCCUUGCUGAAUUAUUCACCCUUGUCUUUUGCGUACUUCUUGUUUCCUUGGUGGGUUCGCCCACCACUAGGACAAACAUAAACCUUUUGUAAUUGCAAUCAGCGUCAGUAACAAAUUAAUAAUUACAACUUUCAACAACGGAUCUCUUGGUUCUGGCAUCGAUGAAGAACGCAGCGAAAUGCGAUAAGUAGUGUGAAUUGCAGAAUUCAGUGAAUCAUCGAAUCUUUGAACGCACAUUGCGCCCUUUGGUAUUCCAAAGGGCAUGCCUGUUCGAGCGUCAUUUGUACCCUCAAGCUUUGCUUGGUGUUGGGCGUCUUGUCUCUAGCUUUGCUGGAGACUCGCCUUAAAGUAAUUGGCAGCCGGCCUACUGGUUUCGGAGCGCAGCACAAGUCGCACUCUCUAUCAGCAAAGGUCUAGCAUCCAUUAAGCCUUUUUUCACCCUUUGACCUCGGAUCAGGUAGGGAUACCCGCUGAACUUAAGCAUAUCAAUAAGCGGAGGAA
rnacentral:rRNA from 1 species